AGCUCCAAUAGCGUAUACUAACGUUGUUGCAGUUAAAAAGCUCGUAGUUGGAUUUCUGUGUUGGUCAGCCGGCCGGCCUCUAGGGGUUGUAGCUUGGUUUGCCCGACGCAUCUUGUCACAAUAGACACUGGCAUUCACUUGUUGGUGUUCUGGACUGACUCGUUUACUUUGAGAAAAUUAGAGUGUUCAAAGCAGGCUAUCGCCUUGAAUAUGUUAGCAUGGAAUAAUGAUAUAGGACUUUGGUUCUAUUUUGUUGGUUGUUCGAGGACCGAAGUAAUGAUUGAUAGGGACAGUUGGGGGCGUCAGUAUUCUGAAGCGAGAGGUGAAAUUCUUGGACCUUCGGAAGACUAACAACUGCGAAAGCAUUCGCCUAGGAUGUUCUCU
rnacentral:rRNA from 1 species